UUUCUACAAACUGCUGAUGUUUUACUGAGAGUCACUCAGGUUCUCCUGUAGGAAUUAAAUUCAUGCUGCAGCUUUUUAAAUGUUUGCAUUCUUUAUUUUUCUACUUCAUCAAAACCAAAUGAACAACAAAGACUCAAAGGAACUGAGAAUAAAUGUUCUCUGAAUUCCUCCAGUUUUCCUGCUGCUUAGUGUGAAAAAAAAAAUCAUAUUUAUGUUUUAGGUCACUUAAAAGGAGAAGAAGUUCAUAACAGAAAUCGAACUGUGUUAGCUACAGCUGAAUCACCUGCUGGUGGAGCAGAGGUAUUACUCUGUUUCUAACCAUGCAGAUUUUCUCAAACCCAGAGGGGAAAAAAUCAAAUUCGUAUUUCUAAAACAUCUAGUUGGUGGCACAGGCCUUGGACAUGCCUUUGAGAGAAAACUUUCAGCUGCUUGGUCAGCCAAGCUGCGUCUCCAGAUGGUCAACCUGAUAAAACCCAGAUUCUGUCAGCUGUUGCCGGGCAGAAUUAGAAUCUGAUUUGGUUCACACAAACCUGGACCCAGACUGGUCUACUUUGAGACCAGCAGAUUCACUUACAAACAAGUUAAUGUGGAGCAAAUGUCUUAUUUUCACGCCUUCAAACUGGCUGAGAUCUUGGACUUACUGAACCAGAGAAGAUAGGUUGGUCAUCCACCCAGCCUGGAUUCUUCAGGUCCUCUGAACCGUCUCACUGGAUUCAGACACAGAUCCAGACUGUCUCUGGGAAGGACCGGGUGAAGGUACCUUUCCCACCUCUGGCUCACAUUCAGAGUCUGAUUGUAGACGUAGUCUUUUCUUCAGCUGUGGUCUUGGUAGGACUUGCCGUCAAAUCUUCAAUUUUUCCUACGGUAUUAAAACCAAAUCAACAAGCCACCUCUGUCCAAUCGGUAACCAGGUGUGACAAGCACAUUAUGAGUCAAUGAUCCUCCUUCAAACAAAGAACCAGGGUGUUCAGGAUG